UACGGGGGGGGGCACGCGUUGUUCGGAAUUACUGGGCGUAAAGGGCUUGUAGGUGGCCAACUAAGUCAGACGUGAAAUCCCUCGGCUUAACCGGGGAACUGCGUCUGAUACUGGAUGGCUUGAGUUUGGGAGAGGGAUGCGGAAUUCCAGGUGUAGCGGUGAAAUGCGUAGAUAUCUGGAGGAACACCGGUGGCGAAGGCGGCAUCCUGGACCAAUACUGACACUGAAAAGCGAAAGCCAGGGGAGCAAACGGG
rnacentral:rRNA from 1 species